rnacentral:lncRNA from 1 species
AAAAGAGAAAAAUGCACUUGCCGAGACUUAAGACUCUAACACCUAUAAAAUGCUCGCAAAGAAUUGAGUAGAAAAAAAAGAGAGUCAAAAGAGUGAAAUUAACCCCCAGAGUAUAAGUGAUGCACGAAAAAAAAAAAGAGAAAGAAAAAUCACACAACAUGAAUGCCGAGUUCAAAACCUUUUGUUAUCCAUUUUUGUGUUUAUCCCACCGUACCCAAGCCCCGUUACAACCUAAAAGACCUCGUAAAGUGUGUGGAAUCUGCUGUUGUCGUG